rnacentral:lncRNA from 1 species
GUCGAGUGGCUUAGUGGCUAGAAUUCACUUUUUUCAAGGUGAUUAAGUGGGGUGUCCAGGGUUCGAACCCCAGCCCCUACAUAUAACAAUGCAUAUCCCUCCCAACUGAGCUAUGCUCAUUUCGACAAAAAAAGUGACUAAAGCAUUUUCUAUACAUAUUGUUGCGCACCAAAUCCUUGCCGCUCACCGUUCAUGUAACACCCCGUUUUCCCAACUUGAAAUUUUUUACAUAAUCAUCAGAGUAAUCAACUUAAAUAGGAUGUCACACUACUUUAAAAGAUAAAUAGAAUAGAAUUACUAUUUAUUUAAACAUCUUUCAUCAAUAAUUCAAAUUACAUCGCAGCGGAAAAACAUUUCAUUAUUCAUCAAAAUGGCACUACG